AAGAAAACGUGGAAAAAGUGAGCGGAAUCCAUCGGCCAAGGAGCCAAGCCGAGUACGCUGGUUGGCUUUGUAGUUUUCUCCAGGGAGCAUGUGGCCAGGUUCAGGUCAUGCGCAGAUGGACUAUGGACUGUGUUAGGGAAUGUACUUCUAUCUUAGAGUAUGGUGCAACGUUCUGUUUGGAUACAAGCUAACUCCUAAUACCCUGCUCCCCGGAGGACAAAGGUGAGCAGAAUCACUCAGAGAUCAAUCUACCUUGCAGACCUCACUUGCCAUGGAAGAGCAAAUGGUGCUUUUCCCCCCUAACGUUUUACUGAUUUGCUUGGUGUGGUGGGAGAGAGCUGGCAAUGCCACACGUGGAGGGGGAGCCUGCUUCUCUCCUGCCGUGUAGACCCAGGGGACUGACCGCUGGUGGUCAGGCUUGGUGUCCAUUGCCCUCACUGAGCCCUUCCGCCAGCCCUCGAUAGGUGCUUUCUUCCCUGUUGUAAACCAUCUAAACAUACAGCUCACUUCUUCCAACUUCUAUGGCUUCUCUUUCCUUCCCCAGCUAGUUGGAGCCAUCUAGAGAAAUUCACCUCUCCCAAAGCAAAAAAAUCCACAUAGAAAGCAGAGAAAAAUUCCUAUAGGUCACAGAAUGGGGGCCAUUCAGAGUAGGGCCCAGGGCUCCCCGAAACAAUGACUGAGGUCCACAUGGCAGUAGUUUUCCUCUAUCUUAGUUUGUUUACAAACAGAUGUCCUCAACGUCUUUCCUGUGUAGGUCCACAGGCCCUCAGGUUACUUCACACAGUCAGGAGGCACCUGUCACCCAGUGACACCCCUGUCACCUUGCUUCCUUGCCCAGCAGCUCCAUCUAGCAGCAGACAUCCUUGGCCACUUGCACCAGGCCAUGACCUUCUUCUAGAACGCUAUAUGCCUCAAGGUGCAUACCUGCCCAACCAGACUCUUUGGUGGUUUAACCAGAUGUCAAAAUAAAAGCUCAGCUAUAUACACCUCCUUAGCCCAGUCACCCAUAAAAAUUAUCCACUUGAAAUGAUAGAGAAAAGUGACGUCACCAGCCAGACAACAGCUUUUCUUUGCGAAGAGUUUUGCGAAAAUCCUACAUCUGCUGGGUGUCAGGGAACUGAGAAGUGCAAACAAGAACCACAGAGGAACGGGACGAGGUCUCUGUGCUCAAGGUUGUUUGUGCCUCUCUGGGAAGUUGCAGGAGGUAAACCUUAAAACUGGACAAGUGCAGGAAAAUCUCAGCCUUGGUUUUGUUUUCUUUAGUGGAACCUGUAGAUGGGUUUUUCUUUGGGCCACCAGCUCCAAAAAAUGACACGGAAACUUAUUAAUUACAGAAGCUUGGCCUACAGCUUAGGCUUGUCCCGCUCGCUCUUAUAACUUAAAUCAACCCAUUUCUAUUCACCAACGUGUUGCCACAUGACUCGUGGCUUUUACAUCUCCUCCUGCAUGUCUUGCUCCCUCUGCCUUGGGCAGGCAACUUGUCCUUUGUUCUUCCCAGAGCUCUGUCCCCAGAAGUCCUGCCUAACCUCUUUCUGGCUAGCUAAUGGCCAUUCAGCUCUAGUGGCCACAGUUAACACAGUAUAGGAACAUUCCACAACAAGAACUUUCUUGAAAACACACUUUCUGAGAUGCACGAUGUAAUGUAGUGGUGAGUUCUGCUUCUGCACAGCUGUAGGGUCCUGCAGGGAAAAUCUUCUUAGGCUAAAACUAAGGUUCUGCUGGACACCCCAUCAAUGCCCUGAAGGUACUCAAGAUCACAGGACAGAAAACAGAACACGUAGGAAGGGUGGGUUUUGGAAGAGAGGAUGGUGUUGGGUUUUCCCCUCCCCAAUGAUUUUUAGUUUGAGAGAGACCUGAUGCCAGUGUCUGUGACAACCUGGAAAGAGUACUUGCCCUUUGUCCCAAUUCCUGACUUAAAUGAGCUGAGCUUCUCGGAAUUUCCAGGAUAAGAAUACCUUUGUAUGCUCAUGAGCUGACUGCUGGUUAGUGGUCUCUACACAGCUUCAGGACCAAGGAUGGUCACGUGAAAGCCAAAGCAAGGCUGGAAGGUGGGCAGGGGAGCUCCUGCCCUUCUGCUCAUCUCACCCUGUGUAUUUUCCCCGCCUAUUCAUUCAUUAGCAUCUUCUGUAGUAUCAUUUAUGAUCAAUGGGAAGAACAGGUGAAGUCUUCCUCUAGGUUCCUGGAGCUAGCUGCCCUAGCAGAUUAUAGAAUCCGAGCAGAAGUCAUGGGAACAUUUAACACACAGACUGUUUGGUCAAGAGUUCUGGAGGUCCAGGCUCAGGGACCUGAGGUUUGAGACAGACCUCCGAUAAUGGGGCUGAGCCUUUAAACCGAGAACUCUGAUUCUAUGUCCAGGUAGAUGAUGUCGGAUUAAAUUAGAUGAGAAGAUUCAUGGCUGCUGUCUCCUGGAGAAUCUGCCGAGGCUAGCCGGGGUGGAGUGAAGGGAAACAGCUUGGAUCCCUGAAGGCUCCCAGGCACUUAGCGGAGUGCUGCAUAGACAGGAAGGAAGGCACUUCGGUGUGCACUGUUCUAAGAGCUGUGGGGACGGCAGGCAGGAAAUUCUCAGAGCUGGAAAUGUUCUUAGUUCUAUGGCCAAGUUUUGUCCUUGCUUCAAGUCACAUAUGCCAGAAGGGUUCAGGGCAUCUGUCCCCAUCUGGAUUCUUGAUAUCUUUUUCCUUUUACACAGAUGCCUAGAAGCUGUACAUGAAAGUGUGACUGAACCUCCAGUCCAAGGCACCACCACUGAUUGCUCCUGGUGAAGAGCUCUGGGACUGAUCUGGCCUGCCAGUACUCAUGUGGCCCUCCUGCAGUCCAACACCGUCUAGCCGAGCUCCCUUAUCGCCUUCCAAGGCCUGAGAGUCAUCACGGGUGGAGAUCCUAAACCCUUAAUGACUCUGAUGAAGACUGAACAAUAACAAGUGUCGGCGAGAACGUGGAGAUGGCGGGACCCCUGGACACCCGCCAGAGCAGGAAGCACAGCUACGAUGGAAGAUGGCUCAGAACUUCUUACAAAAGCUAAGGCCAGAAACCCACGGCUGAGCAUGGGCACACGGGAAAUGCCUUGAUGCUCAGUUCCAUGAGCCUGGACGGACGGAGGGGAAGCGGGUGCAUUCAAACGUGCCCCCCGCCACACACACACUGUAGGAACCCACAUGGCACUGGAAGAGGGACACAGCUUGAAAUCACUCAUCUGAGAGGGUAGAAUGCUGUCCCUUGGUCUGAAAACAAAACCGUCUCUGGGCUUAGUAGCUCUGCCGAUACUGUUUUCGGACGUGCCCUUCCCGGCAUGUCCUUUGUCUGCAGCCUGGUUACUUAUCACAGGAGAUAUACACUAUACCUCAGGAGACACAUGGUAUUUACAGUCUGGAACAGGGACGAAUGCAUAAUCCCUCAACUAAACAUCACGGCCCAAGGCGUCAGUCACCCUUUCUUCCCACCAGAUUCGAUAUGCUAGGUUUUACGAAAUUAGAGAAUGCCAGAGAAAGUGCAUAUCAGCGUCACUGUAACACAACCCAGGCCUAGUGGCUAGAUUCUUCCAGCACGCUCAAGACCCUCACACUGGUAUUUCAGUUUGCCUACUUCGAUUUUCCUACACGUCUCAGAGGCCAAAGGGGAAGAAGUGUCUAUGAGCUGGCCAAAGCUCUUCUGAAUCACCCAGCCUUUUGCUGCUAAGGAAAAGCUAAGUUCUGGUUUCACAGAGAAAGCAGCACAGGUUCAAAAUUGGUUCUUAAAUGUCUUGGUAAGUUUUACUUAAUGAAGGUUCCUCGGAAGCCCCCGAUUGGUUCUGACAUUAUUUUUAUGGUUUUGAGACAAGGACUCACGUAGCCUAGGCAGGCCCUGAACUCACUAUGUAGCUGAGGUAAGCCUUGAACUCCUAACCCUCCAUUGUUUACCAACACUCUGGGCUUUGGUUUCGAGAUUGAACACAACACAUUGCUAACUAGCUUAAACACAGACUAAUUUAGAGACCUGAAAUUAGUGUCAGGCAAUGGCUCUUUUGACUUUGCUGCGAUCUGGCUGGAAGCAGCCGGUGACUAGACACUCUUUCACUGUCCCCUUAAUCCUGGGAUUUCAGUGUUCUGCUCCAGGGUUCACGUGCUAUGCUGAAGUCUCAGGAUGUUGUCCAGAUUCCCAUGAGGGCAGGUCAACUGUGGCCUGCAUUUCACAGGCCACAUGGAAUGACGGGGGAGGAGAAGGCUAGAAGAAAAACGCAUGGCAAAAACAGACUGUCAAGCAAAACACCGCAGCCUCUCUAGAAUGCUUCACUCCCUUCAACUCAAACCACUCUCCCAUGGCAAGGGCCAGGCCCCCUAGAGAAAUGCCCUCCUUCAGAUCUGGAGCAGGAAAUGUACAACGCGACCUUGAAAACCUCUGAGUAUUAUUAGCAUUGGGUCAAAACCCUGUGGCCUCCCAAAGAUGGCUUUGCUCAUCAAAUAAAUGAUGAUGGAGAUGAUGCGGAUGUCUGUGUAGGAGGAGCCUGCUCAACCGCAGCCAAUCAGGUGCAGAUGUUAAGGAAGCCUUCAGGACAGAUGGCCAGUUUCCUUGACAAACAGCAAUCAGAAGGGGUGGGGUUAUGAGGUCCCUCAGUUUGGUCCCCAGGACUGAAGGAGGUGAGUAGCAGUUGUAGAUGAAAGAUGGAAGGCACAGAGGUAAGUCAGCGGCGGAGUUCUUCCAUUCUGAUCUGCACAUAGUACCAAUAGGCAUUUACAGACAACCAGGGAAGCCUGGACACUUCACCUAGUGGGUGACAUCAAGAAAUUGUUCUAAGAAGGGCAGUGGUAGCACUCUCUUAAUCCCAGCACUCAGGGAGGCAGAGACAGGCGGAUCUCUGUGAGUUCGAGGCCAGCCUAAUCUAUAGAGUGAGUUCCAGCAGGACAGCCAGAGAUACAUAGAGAAACCUUGUCUUAAAAAAACAAAAUUAAAUAGAUAAAUAAAUAAAAUAAAAAAGAAAUUGUUUGUUAUCUUCUUCUGAUGAUGUCGCAUUUAAGGGAAAGGAGUCUGAUAUCUAGGGCUGUGUGUGGAUUUAAGGAUGUGUAUUUAAUAUACUUGUAAAAUUUAUAUCUCUAUUUAAUAAUAAAGUAAUAUAUUUAAGGACAGAUCUUGAGAACUGUUUGGAGGUGGCAGGGAGUGCUGUUACUCAAAUACCAGUCCUCUUUCUUCAAGUAAGGUCCUGCAGGGAGAUAGUCUUGGGAGGGACACACACAGCGGAGGGAGGGAGGGAGGGGGGACAUCCCCUAGCCAUUCCAGAGCCAAUAAAUCGGCUGUGGUGAGGCUCAGGCUAAUGGAGUCCUCUUGGACAGAUCAUCCUCACAUCCUGCAUUUAAGAAUGAAGUUAGGUAGCUGGGUGGUGGACACCUUUAAUCGCGGCACUCAGGAGGGAGGCAGAAGCAGUCAGAUCUCUGUGAGUUUGAGGCCAGUCUGGUCUACAAAGUGAGUUCUAGGGUAGCCAGGAUCGUUACACAGAGAAACCCUGUCUCGAAAAGCCAAUAAAAACAUUUUUUAAAAAUUAUGUGUGCGCAUACAUGUGUGCAUGUGUCUUGUGUGUUUCUGUGUGUGUGCGUAGGUGAAUGAGAGGAUGCCUUCCCUAGACCUAGUUGUGGGUCACCUGACAUGGAUACUGAGAGUCAAAGCUGUCCUCCACGAGAGAAGUACAUGCUCUUAACUGCUGAGCCAUCUCUCCAGCCCUAAACAGAAGUAUUUUUGUUUCUGUUUUUCUUUUGUCUUAGUUCUGAGGGAGGGGAAAGCUGUUAAAUAUUCUUAUGAACACAGCUUUACAUUUAUAGAAAUCAUUUGUUAUGACAUUUGAUUUAUUAUUUUAAGACGGGGUCUCAUUUGGCUAGCCCAGAACUUGCUACGUAGACCAGGCAGUCCCGAAACUCAUAGAGAUCUGCAUACUUGUGCCUACAGAGUGCUGGGAUUAGAAGUCAGUGUUACCACAACUGCCUAGUACUAACAUUUUAAAGACCAUGAAGAAAUUGGUAUGUGGGCCGAGAAACCCACAAACCCUCACGUCUUGAAUACCCACUCCAUACCAGACACUUCUGCCUUUACCUCAUGUCUGUGAGAUAAACAUUCUAACCUUAUUUUAUAAAUGAUAAUACAGAGGCACAGAGAAGCUAACUAUUCAAGAUCAUACAGCUAGCUAGUGGAAAAGCCAAGACUUGAAUUUAGACAUCAAGACUUAAUACCCUUUGACCACAAUGACCCAUCCUGUCCUUUAUUUUUCAGGUGUUUUAUGUUUAUUUUGGGGACAAAGUCUUCCCGUUGCUUGGGAAUUCUGGAGUUCAUGGUUUUGGCUAGGUACCAACCCCUGUCCACGACUCAGCCCUCACAGACAUGUGUGGGAAACAGAGAAACAUCCACAGAUGGUCAGUGAAAAACAACCUCUGCAUGUGUGUAUAGGUGUGUAUGUGCAUGUAUAUGUAAGGGCAACCAUGUGUGUGCACGUAGAGCCUAGAGUAGGCCAUCGAGAGCCAUUAUCUAUUGCUCUCUGCGGUGUUGCUCUUAGACAGAGUUCCUCAAUGAACAGGCAGCUCUCCAUUUUGGCUAGACAGGCAGACUGGCCGGAGAGCUCUCAUGAUUCUCCUAUUUCUGUCAUUGGAUGCUGAGGCUGGGUGCUUGUGACUCGAACUCAGGUUCUCCUGUUUGCACAGCAAGUACUCUUACUUACUGAACACCAUUCUCGCCAGACCCCACAAUCAAAUCUUUAAAUCAGUAAGGCAGGGUGCAAGGCAGAAUGCCCUGGAGGCUGUCUGUCUGGCACACCCUGGGGUUUUCAGGCAGGCCAGCUACAGGAAGUCAUUAUGGUGUGUCCAAGGCACAGGGAUGUGCACACAAGUCUGUCAGGCUCUUACCUAUGGUGCCUGGAGGCAGGAGACAGAGGUGGGGUUAGGGGAUGCUCACAGGCCUCCCUGAGAGCCACUGGGAUUCCCUAACCUUUGACUUUCCUCAUCCCUGCUGGUCUGUUCUCUGCCUUCAAUCACCAUCCCCAAGGUUCCUGUCCCAGGAAAGCUCUGUCUAGACUCAACAGUGAUGUAAAGACCAAUUCACAGUCAGGGAUCCCCAGCCCCUCUAAGACUGCACUGUCUUCCUACGUCAGUUCUUCUGCAAUCAGUGGAUCUGAACUGCAAGAAUGGGUCCUAGAUAAGAUAGAGAUUCAAGAGUGGUCCUUCCGAGAAAGCCGGGCUCUUCUGGCAAGGCCGUGAUUUUGCUCUUUAGGGACGAUUCCCUGUCCCAGACGUGCUAGGUUUAAAUUCCAGUAGAAACUGAGCAGCGCCUCAACUGGAGGAUUCCAAUAAGUUUUCACAGUAUUUAUUUUUAUUUGCAAUUGUGUGUAUUGCGUGCCUGUGGGGUGGGUGUAUGCACGAGUGUGGGUGCCCUCGGAGGCCUGGGGUAGCUAAUCCCCCUGGGGCUGGACUCACAGGCGGCUGUGAUUUGGGUGCUGGGAACCACAGUUCCAUCCUCUACAAGAGCACUGUGCAUUCUUAACUACUGAGACAUCUUUCCACCCUCCUAGGCGUUUUGUUGGGUUUUGUUUUAUUUUAACUGGAACAGUGUGGAGAAAGGAUAGCGCAUGGUAAAGGCGAGCGCGUCUCGGCAAACUCUGCUUUGUAUGUGUUAUACAACACGGGUGUCAUGUAUGUUCUUGUAUACACUCCAAGUGUGCCUAACGCAAAAUGUAUUUCUUAUUCUUAUGGUUGGUUAGGGAAAAAAAAUCACUUUUUCUGUAGUACUCUGAAACUCGAGUAGCAAUUUGUCACAAACUUUGAACACACGUUCUCUAAUGUCCUUUCCUAAAGCUACACAGGUUUGUUUUUCUACACGCAAAUCACAGGUUAGUUCUGCAGUUUAAGACAGCGAGGUUACUUUCGAGAGCAAAUGAUGCAUGCACAGCUAUAAAGGAUUUGUAGGAUACCUUAGGAUGCAGGACGAAACCCUUCAUUUCAGAACCAGGGGCAUAGUGACGCAUGCCUGUAAUUCUAGCACUUGGUAGGCUGAGGCAGGUGAACUAUGAGUUUAAUGCCAGCCUGUGCUGCUCAGCAAACCCUGCUUCAAAAAACCGGCAGGCCUGGAGAGAUGACUCGGAAUAAAAGUGCUUGUUGCCCAAGCAUGAGUUCCCAUGGCGGCAUUCUUAUAUGACUGUUAUCCUAGGACUGUGUGUGUGUGUGUUCAUGAGAGUGUGUGUGUGGGAUCACUGGGGCCUGCUGGCACAGGCUUGCAUACCCCCGCCCCAACUUGGUAACUCUAGUGGGUUUGGCAGAGAAUGGCAAGGUCACAGUUGGAGGACAAACCUGCGGAAGGAAUCCCGGAAAUCACCUGGCUCACCGGGAGUGCCGUUUACUCUACAAUUCUACCAAGAGGGAGGGCAAAGCCGAAUAAAAGAAGCCACAAACCAGAGAAGACCGGCUUUAGAAAGCAAAGUCUGACACACCUCACAGUUCCCGACACUGUCCUGGUGACAGUGUGUUCCUACUGGGUCCCGUGGAAGCAGAUCCUGGGAGCUUAGGAAUCCUAGUGAAUGGAUUUGUCCCCAGAAACACAGCCACGUGUGGAUGGUGAAAUCCUGAGAAGAGGUAGAGCACAGAUAGAAAAAGCAAACCGGCCGUGGGAGAAGGCAGGUGAAAGGAGGCCUAAGCACUGACUCUCACAGGAGUCCCAGGGUUCCUUCCGUGAUGGUAGCUGCUGGAACAAGGCAAAGGAAGUGGUAACUGCACCAGACUUCCAGGCGGAUGACUGUAUGUUCUGAGGAUUUCAUCUCAAUCGAAAGAAAUAAUAUAAGGAGGGAGAUAAGGUGUGGGAAAUAAACAAAAAGACACAGACAGACUGACAGACAGGAGAAAGGGACGUGGGCCCCAAAUGAGGAGAGUUACAUACAACCCAGGUUGUUAGAAAUCCGGGUGUCCGGGAGCCCCAUUAUGGCUUAGAACCCAGGUAAGCUCCAGUUUGACAGGGGCAAAAGAGACAUGAGUAAGGGGGGUGGGGAGGAUGGGAAGAGAUGUUCUGAACAGCAACAAGUCCUGGGCUCUGAAAAGAGCGAGUCCAUAGGACAGCCAGCCAGGAGCAGCUAGCACAGGCGCACAUCCAGAUACCAGUUCUGGGUAAAGGGGCGUAGGAAGCUGAGGGAAGGCCAAGAGACCUUGGGUGACACGGGGAAAGAAGCCAGAGAAGGCAUACAGUCUCGAGGGAAGAUAGAGUGAAGAACGUAUAAAAGGGGUGCUGGUGGGGGUGUGUGUGUCUUCUACAGGGACCCCUCACUUCUUGCUGAGGAACCAGGCUUGGCCUCUGAAAUACCAAUGCAUUUUGCCACAAUUACCAUCAACUAUUUCCAAACUUUUUAUUUUUAAUUUUUUUUUUUUACCUUCUAUCUCUUAUAAACUUCACAAGCAUCACCCUUCACCCUUUAACACUCUCCUUCUUUAAUAAAUACAAGUCAUCGAACCUAAACUACCUGCCCCGAGGGUAAACUGCUUAAUGCGCUCACACGCUUUUCAACAAAUAUCUGUAGAACAUUUGUCCCAGAUACCAUGGGGAUAAACGGAAGUUCAUGACUUUGGCAAGGGCGACGAGACAGAGUGACAAGGCAGGAAAUGACAAGAUGCCGAAACCGAGAGAAAAGCCGGGACAGGUGGGCAAGGCUGAAGGGAGCCUUGUGGAUACUCCUGCAGCAAGAGAAGAUUCAGGAUGGGGAGACAGUGUCGGACUUGCCAGUGUUUCAGGACAGGAACCGUUUACAGUUGCUGGUAUGCAGUGGUAAUGAGAAGCAGAUUUAUUUUUGGUUGAUUUUAUUUGUGAGUUCACUUACAGCAUGCACCCAACGUGGGCGGACCGCUCCUAUAACCAUUCCCUGAUGGCAGGUCACUGAGCCUCUCCGGGCUUCGGUUUUGGAACCAGCAAAAGAGGUUAAAUCCUCUUCUUAACAUAGAGAUUGUUUAAGAGGGUGGGAAGCAACGACGUGGGUAAGAAUUCUGCCCAGCCACUUUGCUCGCAUCUCUCUCUCUCUCUCUCUCUCUCCCCUUACUCCCUCCCUCUCUCUGUGUCUCCUUCUCAUCCCCUUUCUUCCUUCCCUAUUAAGUGUCUCCAGAACCCCGCGUGGAUAAGCCAACUCUUGUUCAGUAGUCUUUCUGCUUCUGCUGGGGCUUUUCUAUCCCUCCUAUAAGGAAGAGAAUUUAGAAGAGGCCUCUGACUUCACUCCCUUAAGGUGCCCAAAAUCCUCUAUGAGGACUCCACUAAGGAAACACUGAUCUGCCUGGGGUGGUUGGGCAUUGCCCAAAUCUCAAGGUCUGUAUUUUCAAAAGGCUUGUCCCAAAAUAAAACUGAGAGAGUAACAAAGUUAUGUGACACGGAAUCUCUGCAUUUUUCCAUUCCUCCCCACAAAUGAUUGAGGAUGGCUACCCACAGGCAGGCAGGCUGGCUAGUUGCUGCUAAACUUGGGGGCCCUGUUUGGGGCACUGCAUUUUCCCCAGGAGCAUCACUCAAGCCCACACCAAGCAAGGACAGAGAACACGCAACACCCUACUCUUUGUUACCUCUUAAUCCUGGUCUUUGGGAGCAUGGGAGUACACAUUCUUUCAGCGAUAACAAAAACCCCCCGAACAAAAACCCACUAGAUUUUCUUCAGCCUGAAAGCCACGACUAGAGGUUCCUACCACAUUAUCCCUACGAAGAAAUCCAAAACCAUUUCCCUAACUUUCCAAUUAGGAACUUUACAGGCAAUGCCUCCUCUACUUUGGAGAAAGGAUUUGAUGAAAUAGAGAAAAUAUUUGAUGAAAUAAAUUGACCAAAUGAAUUUACUUGGUCAAGCAGGCGGAUGCUUAAAACACACGGUUAACAACAAAUGUACUGGAGGCAACUUCUCUGCCACAGAUGAUAAAUUCCAUUGUGAAAAACCGAGACUAGAUAGUUUCUAGGAGAGCCUGAUUCCUAGGAGGGGUCCCUCUUCUCGACCCAGAGGAACAAGUUCAGAUAACAAAGACACCCGCUCCACACCCCCUAUGUCCUGAUAUCACCGUCACCUCCUGGGUACUAGGCCGAGCUGGGGACUACCAGUCUUUAUCGUCUUUAUUUAAUGCUUAUGGGUUUUUCUUUUACACCACCCUUCCUUCCUUGCAAAUCAAGCGAGAAAAAGAGAGUUCCAACAAAGCAAAACUUAAGCCGGAGUGGUUCCACCUCACAACCAAAGCACCCGUUCACGAGACCCUUUCUUUCUGGAGGUGGUCUUGCAAAACAGGCCACACAAUAACAACAAAUGCGCUGGCGGAGGCUGCUCCGGAGCCCUGGGCCCCUCCUCCGGAUCUAAAACCCAGUGGCCUGCGGGCUGCACUCCCCAAAACCGAGUCCAAAGGAGCACCGGCCGUGAUGGGGCAGGAAGGGGAUGUGUCUGGGGAAACUCUAGAUCUUGGCUCAAAUGCCUGUUUGGCUCCUGGGGGAAGCUGAGGCAGGGUUGCAGACAGGCGUACCCCCGCGCGAAGCAGGCGCAACCUUACUUCUGAUACCCCCCCACUAGC